rnacentral:rRNA from 1 species
AUAGGUUUGGUCCCAGCCUUCCUGUUAACUUUCAAUAGACUUAUACAUGCAAGCAUCCACGCCCCGGUGAGUAACGCCCUUCGAAUCACAUAGGACUAAAAGGAGCAGGUAUCAAGCACACACUCUUGUAGCUCACAACGCCUUGCUUAACCACACCCCCACGGGAGACAGCAGUAACAAAAAUUAAGCCAUAAACGAAAGUUUGACUAAGCCAUAUUGACCAGGGUUGGUAAAUCUCGUGCCAGCCACCGCGGUCAUACGAUUGACCCAAGCUAACAGGAGUACGGCGUAAAGCGUGUUAAAGCAUCAUACUAAAUAGAGUUAAAUUUUAAUUAAACUGUAAAAAGCCAUAAUUAUAACAAAAAUAAAUGACGAAAGUAACCCUACAAUAGCUGAUACACCAUAGCUAAGACCCAAACUGGGAUUAGAUACCCCACUAUGCUUAGCCCUAAACACAAAUAAUUAU